UCCCAGGUAGCUCAGUGGGUAAAGAAUCUGCCUGCAAUACAGGAGACACAGGUUCAGUCCCUGAGUUGGGAA
rnacentral:tRNA from 1 species